rnacentral:rRNA from 1 species
UCGGCAUCGACCAGAGGGAAAAGGAGCAAUCCGCUUUGAGAUGGCCUCGCGUCCGAUUAGCUAGUUGGUGAGGUAACGGCCCACCAAGGCGACGAUCGGUAGCCGGACUGAGAGGUUGAACGGCCACAUUGGGACUGAGACACGGCCCAGACUCCUACGGGAGGCAGCAGUGGGGAAUAUUGCACAAUGGGGGAAACCCUGAUGCAGCGACGCCGCGUGGAGGAAGAAGGUCUUCGGAUUGUAAACUCCUGUUGUUGAGGAAGAUAAUGACGGUACUCAACAAGGAAGUGACGGCUAACUACGUGCCAGCAGCCGCGGUAAAACGUAGGUCACAAGCGUUGUCCGGAAUUACUGGGUGUAAAGGGAGCGCAGGCGGGAAGACAAGUUGGAAGUGAAAUCUAUGGGCUCAACCCAUAAACUGCUUUCAAAACUGUUUUUCUUGAGUAGUGCAGAGGUAGGCGGAAUUCCCGGUGUAGCGGUGGAAUGCGUAGAUAUCGGGAGGAACACCAGUGGCGAAGGCGGCCUACUGGGCACCAACUGACGCUGAGGCUCGAAAGUGUGGGUAGCAAACAGGAUUAGAUACCCUGGUAGUCCACACCGUA